GGCUCGGGGAGGUCCCGGGGGUGGAUGGAGCCGUGAGCGGUUCUGGGCGGCUGCUGGCAGCGCCAUGGAGACUGUGCAGCUGAGAAACCCGCCGCGCCGGCAGCUGAAAAAGUUGGAUGAAGAUAGUUUAACUAAACAACCAGAAGAAGUGUUUGAUGUCUUAGAGAAACUUGGAGAAGGGUCCUAUGGCAGUGUAUAUAAAGCUAUUCAUAAAGAGACCGGUCAGAUUGUUGCUAUUAAGCAAGUUCCUGUGGAAUCAGACCUGCAGGAAAUAAUCAAAGAAAUCUCCAUAAUGCAGCAAUGUGACAGUCCUCACGUCGUCAAAUAUUAUGGCAGUUAUUUUAAGAACACAGACUUGUGGAUUGUGAUGGAAUACUGUGGGGCUGGUUCUGUGUCUGAUAUCAUUCGAUUACGGAACAAAACUUUAACAGAAGAUGAAAUAGCUACGAUAUUACAGUCAACACUUAAGGGACUAGAAUAUCUUCAUUUUAUGAGAAAAAUACACCGAGAUAUCAAGGCUGGGAAUAUUUUGCUAAAUACAGAAGGGCAUGCAAAACUUGCAGAUUUUGGAGUAGCAGGUCAACUUACAGAUACCAUGGCCAAGCGGAAUACAGUAAUAGGAACACCAUUUUGGAUGGCUCCAGAAGUGAUUCAGGAAAUUGGGUACAACUGCGUGGCAGACAUCUGGUCGUUAGGAAUAACUGCCAUAGAAAUGGCUGAAGGAAAACCCCCUUAUGCUGAUAUCCAUCCAAUGAGGGCAAUCUUCAUGAUCCCUACAAACCCUCCUCCCACAUUCCGGAAGCCAGAGCUGUGGUCUGAUAACUUCAUGGAUUUUGUGAAGCAGUGUCUUGUAAAGAGCCCCGAGCAGAGAGCCACAGCCACGCAGCUCCUCCAGCACCCGUUUGUCAAGAGUGCCAAAGGAGUGUCCAUACUGCGGGACUUAAUUAACGAAGCCAUGGAUGUGAAGCUGAAACGCCAGGAAGCGCAGCAGCGGGAGGUGGACCAGGAUGACGAAGAGAACUCAGAGGAAGAUGAGCUGGAUUCUGGCACGAUGGUUCGGGCAGCAGGUGAUGAGAUGGGCACUGUCCGCGUAGCCCACACCAUGAGCGAUGGCGCCAACACAAUGAUCGAACACGGGGACACGUUGCCCUCCCAGCUGGGUACCAUGGUGAUCAACUCUGAGGACGAGGAAGAAGAGGGGACCAUGAAGAGAAGGGAUGAGACCAUGCAGCCUGCAAGACCUUCUUUUCUUGAAUACUUUGAACAAAAAGAAAAGGAAAAUCAGGUCAACAGUUUUGGCAAGAGUGUAUCUGGCCCCUUGAAAAACUCUUCGGAUUGGAAAGUACCCCAGGAUGGAGACUACGAGUUUCUGAAGACCUGGACAGUGGAGGACCUUAAGAAGAGGCUCUCGGCCCUCGACCCCAUGAUGGAGCAGGAGAUUGAAGAGAUCCGGCAGAAGUACCAGUCGAAGCGGCAGCCAAUCCUGGAUGCCAUUGAGGCUAAGAAGCGGCGGCAGCAGAACUUCUAAGUGGGGCCAGCCUGGGGGCUGGGCGCCCCAGGCCUCCGUGGACUCCGGAUGGUCAUGUCCUGUCGUCAGCCUGCACCCCUGCUCCAUCUCUAGUCCACAGCACCUUCUUGAGCUCAGGAACGCCGACCCUGGCCUGGACAGCCAGCGUGCCCCCGGAUGUGUGCCUGAGCCAGUCAGGUGUAUUUUUUUCAAAGGAUUGAUAUUGGCGCUUUUAAAUUAAGAGUUUUAAACCCCAGGAACUGAGACUCCUAGUUGAGUGAUAGCUCGGGGAGUUUUACAUUGUCUUUUGUUUUAAUUCUCCCAAUAGCUUUCAACUGUUCUUUCUGAAAGAUUUUUUAAAAAUAUAUAAAUAUGCAUAUAUAUAUAUAAAUUAUAACCGGAUUCCCCACUCAGCGUGGUGGCAUCUCUGUACAGGUACAGUUUUAAACAGUUUGCCUCUUUUCGGCGUGAUCAUGGUACUGUGGGACACGAGCGCUGGACACCGGGAGGCUGGCGGGGUCACGACUCCCCAGAGCCAAUCUCACCCUUUUGCUGGACUGCAUUUAAAAAUGAGGUUUGGGCCCGCUGUGGCACUGUGGUAUCAGCCUCACGUGGGUCAUCCCGGCUUCGGAGCUGCUGGUGACGUCCAAGGAAAGCCUUGAGAGUUUGUGUUUACCUCUGAGUCCCAGGAGACGCCUGGUACCCCCUGUGCAAACUGGCCUUUGUGAUGGUUUCCAGGGCCUUUCGUCCAUCUCCACUCUCCCCGUUGCCUGAAGUCACAGCACAGAUACUGCCCAGUGCCUUAGGAGGAGACGUGCACCAGUGGGGACAGGCCCGCCGGGAGCUCUCAGCAGACACGGGGCCUGUGUUCGGUCCGCAAAAGGGAAAGUGUCUUUUUAAGUUCUCGUUGUUCAUGUGAAGAUCACACCUGUGGUGUUUUGUUCCACAUUCCUCACAGACGGGGUAGAGGGCAUUACUUCAGUGAUCCGCAUUCAAGUAUGUGACUUUGCUUUUUUAUUUUACUGCCAAGGGCUCUGGAAAGGAUACAUGAAUAUCAGACUGAGGUUUGUUCUCCGGGAGACUGAACCCAGACAUGUAGAAUGCCAGGGCUGGAAGGGACCACAGUCCUCAUCUGGUCCACUAAGGCUUAGAGAGGCAGCUGCCGUGACCAAAAUCACAGCAAUCAAAGGAAGAGCCGGGCCGAGGCCUCGGCGCCUCACCCCUUCACUGAACCAGCCUCUUCCUUGAGGGAAGAAACUUUGAGUCACACUUAAGAGGGUGUUUGUUAAGUUGUUCCAGGGAACCUUCCUAAUGGAAACUUGUUCUUGUUUUGUCUCUUUGGUGGAUGACAGGUUAUGAAAAAAUUCAUAAGGGGAGCCAGAUGGCUCCAGGUCAGUCAUUCCGUGAGCUCUGCAGUGUCCCCUGGGUAGAUUUAGGGCCUAAAACAGGUCAGAGGCUUUGCAGAAGGCAGCGCUGGGCCAUCCCUGUGCAGGGUUGGUUCAAAGCCGCACGUCAUCUAGUCACACAGCAAGGGGGAGACAGGAAGGGCAGGUAACUUCAUUUUCUAAUAGCUCUUCCCCUCAGAUAGAGGACCCGUGACUGGGUUACAUCUCAGGAUCCUAUAAUCUGACUCCAUAAUUGCUUUUGUUGCCCUAACCUGGAAUCAGUGGGAAGGCAGGGAAUAUUCCUCAUCUGUGGCCUGAUUCUGUUCUUUACAAUUAAAGCAGGUUUAAAAAAUAUAAGAGGUAUUUGUUAGUCUGCAGGGCUUGACCAGUGGAGCAGCUGUGUGGCAGAUUCAGAGGAUAGAAGUCAAUUUGAGAAUCCUGGUAGAAGAAUAAAUGGCAGCUAGCAUCCGUCAUCCACUUGUAUGCCAGGCCCUGAGUGAGGUAGACUCUUUAUAUACAUCAGCUCCAACCCCACAGAAACCCUGGUAGUUACUUUAUCUCCAUUUCAUAGAUGAAGAAGCAGGUUCAGAGAGGAAGAAGGUUCUUUGCCAAGACGACACAGCUAGGAAGUGGUGGGAUCAGAAUUCACAGCAUCUCCAUAUGGGGCCAUUAUCUGCAGGGAAAAGGAAAGUCACAGGUCUUUUUCAAAUGAAGUGGCCACCUUUUCUUACACAGACUAAAUUAACUGGCAUUUUUAGACUGGGUAACAGCUGACUUUGUAGUCAAGACCGACAGCCAAGUGAAUUUUAAAAACCAAAGCAUUGAGCAGGCAUUCCCCCAUGCCAUCUGCUGUGCCAAUGAACAGUCCCGCCUCAGUCUCUUUUUUAAAAAGGACUUUUCACUUGGCCAAAGGGGAAUGCCCAUUUCCCAUUUCCCCCCUUCCUACAUAAAAGAUGGUCUAGUUCUUCUCCAUAAAUAUUCCUGGGUCAUGAAUCUUGAGCUGGGGUUUCUUUUGUUUCAAGCGUGUGUGCACCCAACACAUGGGUCCACCACAGGAUACUGCUUGCUAUGCUUGCUGGCCACAGUCCUCUGGCCAGGGCUCAGUUUCUUGUGGAUCAGAUCAGAUGACAAGGUUUCUGUUUUCUAGUGCUCGACUCCUCAGGCCACGGUAGUCCGGCGAGCUUCAGUCAGUGCUUGAGCAUUCAUGACUCACGCUUCCAGGGAGCUCGCAAGGCCUCUUGCUUGUUCUCUCCUAAGAAACAAUGGAGACCCACACCUAAUUGUAUCUUUAAGAGGUAUACAACCUGAGGACACUUGGUCAGAUUUUCUAGGAAUAUCUUAAUUGCUUCCUCAUCAGUAAUUUUGAACCAAAUUUCUAUUUUCUUUCAUCCCUUCUGUCAACAACCAGUUGGAUAUAUGGAUGGAUGUUUGACUGACUGGCUGGAUACAUGAUUGACUGAUUGAUAGAGCAAAACAAUACUCUGAAGCAACUUAAGAACAAUAGCCUUGCCUCCUUGAGACUCUAGAUUCUGAUCUAGGAAACAUUUACUUGGCACCUACAGAUGCCAGAAAUAUUAUGCCAUUUAAAAUUCAAUAGUUCUUUCCAACAUUAGGAACAAGAAAGGUGACAUCAUUAUAGGCCCUACAGAUAUUAAAAGGCUAGUCACAAUAUUAUGAACAACCUUAUGCUAAUAAAUUCAGCAACUUAAAUGAAAUGGAGAAAUUCCUUGCAAGAUACAAGGUACCAAACUCACUUGGGAAGAAAUUAUCUGAGCAGCUUAUCUCUAUUAAAACUCAAUAGAUCUGAGAGGGACAGUAAUUAUGGUCCUCAUUUUACAGAGAAGGAAAAAACAGGCUCAGAGAAAGUAGGUCUGUUGCUCAAGGUCACGUAGCUAGAAUAUGGCAGAGAACGGUUCAAAUCCAGGUCUUCUGAUUAUCAUUCCAGUGCCCUUUCUAGCACACCAUGUUGCCUCUAAAGAUCGCAGCUCCUCAUUUACUGGGAAAUUGUUCCUGCCCAGUUCCCACCCUUCCACCCAUACUUUCUUAAGCACUGUGUUUCUGCUUCUAUCAGGAUGAUAUUCAUUGUCUUUGGAAUCCAUGUUCUUAUUUGUGUUUGGAGAAAAAAAAUCUCUUCCACCAGCUUGCACUCAGACCAGCUUGGGAGAAAAAAGCUUAAAUGCUGUUGCAGCUGUACAGCUUGAAAAUGUGAAGUUUGUAGCUUUAAAUUUUUGUAACAAAAUUGGUAAUACUGGCUUAUGUGCUGACUUGAAAUGCUAUUUUAUAAACUUUGGAUGUAAAUAAUCAGUUGAGGUCAUUAGUUUGUAUAUGUAUGAAACAGAGCUUCCUCCAUUGCCCUCCCCACCUUUAAAAAUUUUUGAAUGCCUCAUGUGUGCUUUUAUGUUAAAAUUGUCAUUCUCCUUUCUUCCUACCAUGCCACUUUGUUUUAAAUAAACUGUCCUUUGGGUCAUAGACUAGCCUCUUUGUAAAAAUUGAGAUACUCCAUAUGUGGCCUGGUAAUGUGUUGUGAACCUUCAUGACAUUGGCCCUGUGUGUGCUCAUUCUGGAAUCCAAAGCUGGCGGGGAUUGUAGGAGGAGUAAACUUUUGUUGGACAACUCCCUUUGUGACAAGUGCUGACCAGUGGCUAGGGUUGUAAACAAGACCCAGGCUGUUGGAAAUGCGCAGGUUCAACAUUGUUUUAUUAGAACAUCAAUGAGAAUAAUGCAUUCCUGGCAGAUGUUGAACAAACACAGGGACCCUGAUUAAUUCUACAUCAUUUCAAUUGAAGUGACAGUUUGUAAGAACCUGUUGAUGACAACUUUAAGUGAAGACUUACUAAGCUAUGGUGGAAGGAAGUGCAUGACCUAUGGACACCAGAUCAGAGAGUCACAGAAAUCAAUCUGCUGGGAUUCUAAGGAAGAGUUCCUGGAGGAGACUAUGAGGCAUCCAGCACUCUACCUUUCUGUAGACAGGCAAUUCUCAGAGCGUGUAGUGCUGCCCAUGAGGAAGUAUUCUGGAAAUGCACCAGUGUUUUGUUGUGGCAAGGAGUGUAGGUCCCUACCAGCGUUUAAUGGGCAGCAGCAGGGAUGCAAGAUGCCCUGCAAUGCAUGCUGGGAAGUCCUGUAUCCUGCUCAACAUUCCUGUCCCACUCUAUGUUGGUGAGAAACUUGUGUUAUAAACACCCAAUUCCAGGUCAUCUACACACAAAAUGUUUCUAGCACUUAGAACUAUCAGUUUCCCAAGAAUGAAUGGUGCAGAAAUGGAGAGAUACUUGCAGUUUGUUUUCCUUGAAGCUUUACCACUACACACCCAAUAUAACAGCUGAAAUGAAAGCAAUAGAAAAUCCUAAAUGCUAACAAAGAAGUGGAGCAACCGGAAUGCUAAAUCCUAGGUAUUUAGCAGAAAUGUCUACAUAUUUUUACCAAAAAACAUGAACAAGAAUAUUCAUAGCAGCAUUAGUCAUAAUUUUGCCAAACUGUAAUCCAUCCAGAUGACCGGUGACAAUGGAAUGGGUAGAUCAAGUAUGUAGAUUCAUGCAGCGGAAUACCAAACAACAAUGAGAAUGAUCUACAGCUACUAUGGAAAUAAGUACAGACCAACCAGAAGAGAAAAGCAAAAGACUUUAUUCUGAGCAAGGAGUUGCCGCAGUCACUUGCAUUUUGGCAGAGACUCAAAAGCAGGCAUAGGAGUGGGAAAGUUUUAUAGCAGAGCAAAGGAAAGACUCCAGGUCUUCCUGAUUGGAGGCUGUGGGCCUGGGGAAGACGCCCUUUCACCUCCCUAUCCCAAUAUGAACCCCUUGCUGGUUCUUAAUUGAGCUGACAAACUCCUCUACUCCAAGGAACACAGGUAUAAUCCUGGGCCUUUCUGGGUUUCCAUUUUUUAAUCUGUAACUGGGGAGGAGACACAGAAUGAAAUAUAAAGUAUUUCUGUGACCACAGUGAAAGGAUCUCUUGUGAUUGGCAGCGGGACUGAGAUCUCCAAAACCAAACCAAAAUUGGCUCAUGCAGUUUGCCGAGUUCACAGCCCUCCUGCACUUUUAUGAAGUUAGGCAUUGAUAGGCAAGGGAUUAUGACAAGUGGAAUGGCCAUAUGAGAGGAUGUGGGAGAAAUCCAAGGCAAACUAACACCCUGGGUGGAAGCAGCCCCCGCCCUUCCUUAUUGGAGAAAGCUCACAAGUUUCUGCUUACUCCACCCCCAAGGCAGCUGAGCUGGAAGGUGGAGGAUCAGUUUUGGCCUAGAGGGUGAAAAAUAGACUCUGAGUAGGAAAGACUCUUGGACCCAUACAGAAUUGCAGAAAUUUGUUAAUUGAUACCACCAGAAUUUGGGGAAUAUUUAUGGGAGUGAAUUUUUGUGGUACAUGACGAAGGAAGGGGAAAUGUAAUUUUGGGCCAGGCUGAUCUUGAUAAAGAUGCACGUACAGGGCAUCUGUGUUCUCUGUGCCAGCGCCAG